rnacentral:rRNA from 1 species
GACGAACGCUGGCGGCGUGCUUAACACAUGCAAGUCGAGCGGUAAGGCCUUUCGGGGUACACGAGCGGCGAACGGGUGAGUAACACGUGGGUGACCUGCCUUUAGCUUCGGGAUAAGCCUGGGAAACUGGGUCUAAUACCGGAUAUGACCUCAUGUCGCAUGGUGUGGGGUGGAAAGUUUUUCGGCUAGAGAUGGGCCCGCGGCCUAUCAGCUUGUUGGUGGGGUGAUGGCCUACCAAGGCGACGACGGGUAGCCGGCCUGAGAGGGCGACCGGCCACACUGGGACUGAGAUACGGCCCAGACUCCUACGGGAGGCAGCAGUGGGGAAUAUUGCGCAAUGGGCGAAAGCCUGACGCAGCGACGCCGCGUGAGGGAUGACGGCCUCGGUUGUAA